AGCAGCCGCGGUAAUUCCAGCUCCAAUAGCGUAUAUUAAAGUUGCUGCAGUUAAAAAGCUCGUAGUUGAAUUUCGGGACCGAUAUAUCGGUCGUGCCUCGGUACGUACUGGUAUUUUUGGUUUCUCCCUUCUGACGAACCUUGAUGUCAUUAAUUUGGUGUCUUGGGGAAUCAGGACUGUUACUUUGAAAAAAUUAGGGUGUUUAAAGCAGGCUCACGCUUGAAUACAUUAGCAUGGAAUAAUGAAAUAGGACGUUUGAUUCUAUUUUGUUGGUUUCUAGGAUCGACGUAAUGAUUAAUAGGGAUAGUUGGGGGCAUUAGUAUUCAAUUGUCAGAGGUGAAAUUCUUGGAUUUAUUGAAGACUAACUACUGCGAAAGCAUUUGCCAAGGAUGUUUUCAUUAAUCAAGAACGAAAGUUAGGGGAUCGAAGACGAUCAGAUACCGUCGUAGUCUUAACCAUAAACUAUGCCGACUAGGGAUCGGAUGAUGUAAUUUUUAAUGACUCAUUCGGCGCCUUACGG
rnacentral:rRNA from 1 species